rnacentral:piRNA from 1 species
UGUGAAACCCGGAAAGUGCCUUCUCAGG